CGUGUUUCCGUCCCUGUAGUGGGAGCUCCUCCUGGUGGAGAUCUGCAGCCAGAUGCUCUUGUAGCGUGGAGGUACCGGCGGGCAGCGGGGCAGGUUGGACCGAGGCCAGCUUUGUAAAUAGUUCGCGAGUGACGUUCGGCAAGGAUUUGCUGGAAGUUGGUGUCAUUCUCGGCAGCCAGAAGCGCAAUGUCACAGUCACUCAGAAUCCUCUGAUAACUGUUUGCAAAGAGUGCGGACUGAGUGGGCGUCAUCUUCCUCUUGAAGUCUGGUGUGAUUACAGCACUGAGAUGAAAAGGCACGGCCAUUCCUCCUCUUGGGGGAGCUCUGAAGCACUGCCAGUGAGAAGAAAUGUGGGAAGGAUGUGUGGUGCCUUUUGGUCCCAAGAUGUAUUUUUGCUGUUCGAAUAAGUUGGGCAGUAGAAGAUAAGCACAAGGGCCUCUCUUACCAGGGAAGGCAAUUAGUCAUGCAGCUACUCCAUGCAGAUUCUUAGUCAUUAUCUCCAUCCUAAAGAACUUCACAAAGGCCAUGCUUUAUAUAUAUAUAUAUAUAUACCAAAAGUUGUUUCUCGUUACUAUUUUUUUCUCGUAAUUUUUUUGUUGUCUUGGUCGCAGGAGUAAUGUGUCAUGACACACAGAGCAAUGCAUGCCCAGCACCGUCAGUGCAUCGUGGUUCUUCUCUCCAAGGGCUACUCCAAAUAGCUGUCGAAGCCAAACUCUGCUCUAAUGAGGUUCAUGACCGCCUGUAGAGAGGGAUGGACCUGGGUUGAAAGAGGCUGUUCUGCAGGAGACUGAGCCAAACUUCUUAGGGACUGUUC